CAGCUUUAUUGACAACAACGUUGGCUGUUCAAGGCGAAGGAAGUUCGGUGUGAAUCCGACGCUGCCCACGCAACCGUGAAAGUCGGGAACUUUGCUUUGAUCGGGCCUUGGCA
rfam:Acidobacteria bacterium OLB17 TZ17_ACD001CONTIG000040, whole genome shotgun sequence.